GUGGGGAAUAUUGCACAAUGGGCGAAAGCCUGAUGCAGCAACGCCGCGUGAGGGACGACGGCCUUCGGGUUGUAAACCUCUUUUAGUAGGGAAGAAGCGAAAGUGACGGUACCUGCAGAAAAAGCACCGGCUAACUACGUGCCAGCCGCCGCGGUAAUACGUAGGGUGCAAGCGUUAUCCGGAAUUAUUGGGCGUAAAGAGCUCGUAGGCGGUCUGUCGCGUCUGCUGUGAAAACUGGAGGCUCAACCUCCAGCCUGCAGUGGGUACGGGCAGACUAGAGUGCGGUAGGGGAGAUUGGAAUUCCUGGUGUAGCGGUGGAAUGCGCAGAUAUCAGGAGGAACACCGAUGGCGAAGGCAGAUCUCUGGGCCGUAACUGACGCUGAGGAGCGAAAGCGUGGGGAGCGAACAGGAUUAGAAACCCGGGUAGUCC
rnacentral:rRNA from 1 species